GAUGAACGCUGACAGAAUGCUUAACACAUGCAAGUCUACUUGAACUUCGGUUUGGGUGGCGGACGGGUGAGUAACGCGUAAAGAACUUGCCUCACAGUUAGGGACAACAUUUGGAAACGAAUGCUAAUACUUGAUAUUAUGAUUUUAGGGCAUCCUAAGAUUAUGAAAGCUAUAUGCGCUGUGAGAGAGCUUUGCGUCCCAUUAGCUAGUUGGAGAGGUAACGGCUCACCAAGGCGAUGAUGGGUAGCCGGCCUGAGAGGGUGAACGGCCACAAGGGGACUGAGACACGGCCCUUACUCCUACGGGAGGCAGCAGUGGGGAAUAUUGGACAAUGGACCAAAAGUCUGAUCCAGCAAUUCUGUGUGCACGAUGACGUUUUUCGGAAUGUAAAGUGCUUUCAGUUGGGAAGAAAAAAAUGACGGUACCAACAGAAGAAGUGACGGCUAAAUACGUGCCAGCAGCCGCGGUAAUACGUAUGUCACAAGCGUUAUCCGGAUUUAUUGGGCGUAAAGUGCGUCUAGGUGGUUAUGUAAGUCUGAUGUGAAAAUGCAGGGCUCAACUCUGUAUUGCGUUGGAAACUGCAUGACUAGAGUAUCGGAGAGGUAAGCGGAACUACAAGUGUAGAGGUGAAAUUCGUAGAUAUUUGUAGGAAUGCCGAUGGGGAAGCCAGCUUACUGGACAGAUACUGACGCUAAAGCGCGAAAGCGUGGGUAGCAAACAGG
rnacentral:rRNA from 1 species